ensembl:lncRNA
AUGAAGGACCAGAGCCUCAGUUGUGAGAUGCGGAUCCCAGCAGUGGAUCCCAGGGCCCAGCCGGCCACCACGCUGCCAGCAGGAGCUGAAGUGGGCCUCCAUUCAUUCCACUCCAAAGAAGGCCGGGAAGGGACAGAAUCAAGAGGAAGGCAGCCCCUCCCACUCAAUUAAAGCAAUUAGCUCACAGGCCUUACCAAGGCCAGGCCUGGCUGAAUAGGAUCCCCCUGCCCCACAGUUUGUUAUCCAAGCUGAGCUCACACAAAUUAAUGAGGAGCAGGAAUGAGUAAAGCCAAGGGCUGUUGCUGGCAAACACUCUGGGGGCCUCGUCCCUUCCUCCUGUAAGAACAACCCCAGAUUACCCCCAACAAUAAAACCUGUUAACUUAUACAACUUUGCUUAAGAAACAAGCCUGAUGGGAUGUUGGCAGACUUCCCUGCUGCCAAGCAAGAACUAUUGCGGGCAGCCGCGAGCUUCUCAGGAUUUAAGCCCGUGAUGGAAUGCCUCACUGCAAUUCACCUUGAAAGUAGAGCAAAUAGAAACUCAGAGUGAAAUCAGACCACCACAGCACCCAACAACACCGUUGAAACAUGUGAGCCCUCCCACGCGAACCACAACAGAUGAACUUGGCGAAGUCUACACAAUUUAGCCUCCAGAGUUGCUCCAAAAGAAAAGACCAAUGGUUCAAAAAUCCACUUAAACUGCAAACUCACCCAUCACCACAGAGAGACUUGGAAUCAAGAUAUUUCACAGAAUGAGAGAUACUCCUGAAGAGACUAAGGAGAGCCAUUCGCG